UUUCAUGGCCUUGUGAAAGAGGGUAUGAUUUUGAAAAAAAUCGUUCACAUAUGCCAUAUACUUGUCAUGCAGCUCAAUUAUCUUUCUGAUAAGAACCUGAAGAUCACACCAACAGAUCAGAUGUUGGGCAUCCAUGUUAUUCCCAGACAUCUAAAACAUAUAAGUUGGGGAUUUACCUGUUCCUGUAUACCACCACUUGCAGCCUGUUGGCGCACAUAAUUGUCAGCACUUAGCUCCCCAAACAAAUAAUUGAAAAUAUAAAAUAAAAUUCAGUUACAAAUACAUGCAAUCCCAACAUAACAACCCAAAAAACUCCCAAGAGUUUUCAUGCCCGAAUACUAAUGUCAGAGAAAUGGACAAGAAAGGAAAGGAAAGGAAAG
rnacentral:misc_RNA from 1 species